rnacentral:rRNA from 1 species
UUUCGCAAUGCCCGAAAGGGUGACGAAGCGACGCCGCGUGGGUGAGGAAGGCCUUCGGGUUGUAAAACCCUGUCAGGAGUUAAGAAAUGUAAGUUCGUUAAUACCGUACUUAUAUGACAAAGGCUCCAAAGGAAGCCACGGCUAACUCUGUGCCAGCAGCCGCGGUAAUACAGAGGUGGCGAGCGUUGUUCGGAAUUAUUGGGCGUAAAGAGCACGUAGGUGGGUUUGCAAGUCAGAUGUGAAAGCCUUCUGUUCAACGGAAGAAUUGCAUCUGAAACUGUUAAUCUUGAGUAUAGGAGGGGAGAAUGGAACUUCUGGUGGAGCGGUGAAAUGCGUAGAUAUCAGAAGGAACGCCAGCGGCGAAAGCGAUUCUCUGGCCUACAACUGACACUGAGUGUGCGAAAGCUAGGGGAGCAAACGGGAUUAGAUACCCCGGUAGUCCUAGCCGUAAACGAUGGGCACUAAGUAGAGGGGUUUUA